GCUGCUUUGCAAGAUCUAUGGUACAUCUAUAUCCUGAACAAGCAGGUGAUAUCGCUUAUCAAUGCAAACUGCUGUGGAUUAAUUUCACCCCUGAGGGAUAUCCAUGCAUAUUUUGGAGCAAAAGGUGCAUUUCAGUUUGCUCCUGGCACAAAGGUUGAACUGUGAAAAAUGAUGGGAGAUACUUACUCUCCUGGUUUAUGGGUUCAAGCUCAAAUGAAGAAGUGAGCAAAGUGAUUGCAGAUUUUAUAAAUAUCUGUGCACUACUGUCUAUUCCACACAGCUUGGAAUAGCAGGGCUUUUAACAGCAAUGCAAAGGCUAAAUGGCAUAGCUCAUGGCUUACAUGCAAGCUAUGGUAAAUAGAGCUCAAAGGAAUUCAUGAGCCCCAAGGUUCAAAAACUGAAAGUAUAUAUGUUCUGUCACUUUCUAACUUUCUAAGACCCAAUGAGGCUUUCAUUUGGGGUCGAGGUCUUGUUUAUAUGUUCACAGAUAAUGAAAACAUCUGGUCACCCACGUCAUGCUUCAUGCCAGCUGAUACAGACCAGGAAGAGAAGCAGACGGAAGGUGAUGGCAUCAGCUAUCUACAUGCCAGCCACAAUCCAGACUCGCUGGAAGGACACUUCUUUGGUGACUAAUAUCACUCUAGAACAAUGACAUUACACUAUUAGAGACAUUGGCUAUUAGGCCACUGAUGGACACUUGUCAUGCUGACAUCCAUUGAGAUGGGGUACCCAGAGCAACAUCAACUAUGCUAAUUCAGAAGGACUAAAUCACACUUGUGUCUGUACAAGACACCAGAUAUGUCCCACACUCCAAAGACUUUGUUAUGGGAUUGAGAGGAAAUAGCUACUAAUUGUCUAGCUACUAAAGUAUACCUUGUAUUUUGUAUAUGAUACUGUCAAAAGAAAUGUAUAUUGUAUGCAUUGUAAAUCCACCACUUGUAUUGUAAGAAAUACUGUUAUCAACAAGGGUAUAGACCUUGGUAUGACUCUCCAAAGAGUAGGAGAUAGAAAACUUUCAUUCAUAGGAUAGAUCUGAUAUUUCUGACAUCAAAAAUGAGGCGCUAAGCAGAAAAUGAUGCACAGACAGGUUAAUGGACAGGUGACACUGAUGUUACUCUCAAGAAAGGAUGAGAGAUCAGGGAAAAGACACUAGGAAAUCUUUAAUCAGGAACCUGAGUUAUUGUAAGAGAUCAUUGACAUCCAGGCAAAGAUUAUGUUCCUGACAUUACAUUAAGGGCUGACUACCAGAGAUGUAGUUAAGUGUUAAUACCAUUGUUAACCAUUACUCCUGAUACCCUGUCUUUGUGGGUAAUAUCUUAAUAGGAAAAAUGUCUUGCUCUCCUCCAACAAUCCCAGAAUUCAGACGGCCGCUGGAUUCGGGAUCUAUUGGCUUCCCUUUCAUAUACUGGAAGACGUUCUGGUAUAUGGAAGUAAGACCUCAUGAAAAACUGAGGGCUCUAGGUUUGACAAUUUCUGUGGACGCGCAGUCAUUGUCUCCAUGGCUCAUGGAGCAAGGGCAAAGUAUAAUCUAAGUUUUACUGUUUUGGAGUAUGGAUUGAAAACAUGACACAAUAGGCACAGAUAAGCUUGCAGAAAAAGCACAUUGAAUAUUAUUCACUGACAAUUAGGAAUGAAAAAGCUAUGUCAAAUGCUGUAGGUACAAGAAACUGUAGAAAUUGUUUCUACAUGGGAAACAACUUAAGCUUCUAUUUACCCAAACAUUGGUUUGGUGGAAAGAAUUUUGCAAAUAUUGGUAAUGGUAUAGGCUUGGUUAUCAUAUUGAUGGGUUUAUUUAUACAAGCAGAGAUUUAAAAUAAGGAAGACAUUAGGAAUAUGCAGUCAGAACUUGAAAUAUUACUUCAUUAUCACCAUCAUGGUUAUUUAAGCUACAAUUGAGAAUGUAAAAUGGAUGGGAAUAUUGGUAUUUGUUAAAAAUUGCACUGUGAUUGAUGUAUUGAUGUUUUUGCAAAGCCUGUAAUGGUGCAAAAUUAUGUUCAUAUACAAGGCGAAUUUUGAUCUAUUUA